AAGAGACAUCUCAGCUCUAUAAAGUCAGCUCUGAAAACACAAAGGUUAAAAACUACGAUUUGUGGUUUAAGAUACAAGAAUGUUUUCUCUUCAGAUUGACUGGGAAGACUUUCUCUUCAGACGGACAGAACUUAUAAAAAAAAAGAACACAGCAAACUGGACAGUGGCAAGAGUCACCAGGAAGAAGACAACCAUUUCAAGAAACCAUGGAGAUCUAUUGCGGAAGGCCACUGCAUCACAGGAUGGAAGGAGUAUGGAUCCAUAUGUCACUAAUUAAAAGAGCAUGAUCCA